UACGUAGGGUGCGAGCGUUGUCCGGAAUUAUUGGGCGUAAAGAGCUCGUAGGCGGUUUGGUAAGUCUGAUGUGAAAUCUAUGGGCUCAACUCAUAGUCUGCAUCGGAAACUGCCGGGCUUGAGUGUGGGAGAGGUGAGUGGAAUUCCUGGUGUAGCGGUGAAAUGCGUAGAUAUCAGGAGGAACACCUGUGGCGAAAGCGGCUCACUGGACCAUAACUGACGCUGAUGCACGAAAGCUAGGGGAGCAAACAGG
rnacentral:rRNA from 1 species